rnacentral:miRNA from 1 species
CUGAGCCAUCUCCCCAGCCCCAACAGUUUAUUAUUGAGGGCUGGGGAGAUGGCGCAG